rnacentral:lncRNA from 1 species
GAAAAAGCUGAAUGAUGUCGAGGCAGCCCCUGGCUGAAAAACAUUAGCGCCUUUGGUAAGUGGUCUAUCAGAGGACAAUGAGACUGAGGCGCGUGCACGAGUGUUAAAGGAAUUUUAUAUCUUGAUGAUAAUUAUCAAUAAUCAAUUCGCCUUGACUAAUGCCCAAAGUUUGUAAGACAAUGGGUUCAAAUAAUUAGGCAAGGACUCAGCUUUCUGCAAAAGGUAUCUGUAGCUUUAUUCAGAGAACGUUCUGAGGUCAGGAUAACAAAACAGUCAUUAUAUAGUUCUUGCUUACUUACGCACAUGCAUUUACACACAAUCCGUUGGUGACCUGCAUCCCCCAUAAACUUCUGACAUUGUUUAUCACUAUCCAGAGCUCAGCCUGUUCUUUUCCCUCAAGGUUAGGACUCUUUGAAGCUUUUACUCCCUUGACCAUCUGUCUCCUGCUGUCCCUCCUAAUGGCAUACACACAUUUCUUUCCCUCUCCAGUGGUUCCUGGACUUUCCGGAACUAAUCAGACUAAUCGAUCCCUACAUUGAUCAUUACAUUGAUUAUUCAUUAAACCUGCUGUAUGACUAAUAAUUCAUCAUGGUUUAUUGAUUCAUUUACCUUUAUUAGAUAAUUCUCUUAUCAAUUCCACCCUUAAAUGAUUCAAUAAUUCACCAUGAUAUGAUCAGAUGCUAUCUGAGAACCCUACUAAUCACACGCUAUAUGUAAAUACAAUAAUCAAACACUAUAUGGGAUUACAUAACGAUUAUCACAUACUAUGAGUAUUCACUAACAAUCACAUGCUAUAUGGAAAUUCAUUGUGAUACAAGGAUUAAACAAGUCCAAUACAUGAAUAUUCCUCCUAUACCCAUCAAUGACAGUCCUAGGCCUAUUUCCAAUUAUGACACUUCGAUUCAGGAUUUUCAUCAUAAUUUUCAUUAAAGGAACAGUCUAUCAAAACGUUGAAAAUUCAAUCAAACAUUGAAAAUUGUUUAAUCAAACAUUGGCUCCUCGUUAUUGAAAGAGACGGAGCCAUCUUCCUGGCCUGGAGGCCCGCAUUCGCCAUCCCACUCAUCGGAGCUCGGAAUCGGUCCAUAUCUCACCAACUGCUGCGUCAUCGAUCUAGAGUCCUGGUGAUUAAACCUCUCACACACGGGACCAAACAACAUCCACACAACACAAACACACUCAUACAGGUGAAAGCAGCCCAUAAUACAGUUCUUACAACACUUUUCCAUUUCCCAAACAUGGGAUGUGUUAUCAGGAAUGUACGUGUAGCGCUGAACCUAAUCAUUCUACCUACACUGCCCUCUUCUGCCAAUAACAUAUCGAGAGUCAGUCUAUUUUACCAGGUCAUGAGGGUGGUGGUGGAUAAUUGGUCAGAGAACCUCUUUACGGCAUCCCCGGUUUCAUUCAUGAAUCUCUGUUGAUUAUAAAAGAUGUCAUUAAUCCAAUCCACAUUUCUAUUUAUUGUCAACCACCGAAAUAAUGUAGUGUUAAAGCCUUCACAUAUUUGAUUCAUAGCGUUGUAUUCAUCUGGAACUUCCCUGAGGAUGCCAAUAGCAUCCCUCUAGACAAAGCUACUCCCAUCCUGGUCAAAACUCCUCCUGUGCCUACUUUAGCCUCCUAUAACUGGCCUCUGAUGACUAACUCGAACUGGUUGGACCAAUAACCCCAGGGCGCAAGCUAACCACCCUUUGUGGUAAUUUCCGUCGUAUGCGUCCUUUGCUGGUACUAGCCCACCCUUCAUCAGUUAUAGGUGCUGUGAGGUUAAGAAUGUUCUAUUCAUCUCUCAAACCUAAGUCAGUCACAUUACCAAUUACCUUUCAGUCAUUAAAAUCAUCAAAGUUCUCGGUGCCAUUCUUGUAUCUAUAACACUGGUAUUCAUCCGGAAUUUAGGUGAACCGAGGUGGGUUGGCUGAGUACUUCAAUCUGGCCAACCCCAAUUCCUGUACAGUUGUCUGCUUCCCCAGGAAAUUGUUUAAUGUUUACCUUAAAUUUUUCGUCUUGAUCUUCUUUGAUUCCUUAUUCUGUAAGUCACUCAUCAGUGUAUUAUAUAGUUUAUCUUUUACUUCUACUCAAUGACAACGGUAUCCUAUGAUUAGUACCGGAAGGUGGUGGAUCUGAAUGUAUCAGAAAGGUUACCAAAACUAUGAUGCAGCUCAGAAUUUCUACUCUUCCCAAAAACCGCCAACCCUCUCCUGCCCUUAGUCGAUCUGCUAGGUACCACCCCAUACUCACACCUCUAGGAGCACACACAGUGAUGUACGGUCGGGAUAGGAAAUCUUCGUUAAGGAGGUAACCCCCGGACCCUGUUGGUAUCGGUUCUUCUCCUAACUCUGUGUGUGAUCAGCAGGGUUCAUAUGUGUACAUACCUCCUUGCAGUGGGUAACGUGGACCCAAGUGACUCUUUCAGCUUUUCUAAUGGCAAAGGCAGUGGUUUAACAGAACCUGGUAUGGGCCUUCCCAACGGGGCUGCUUCCUGUCUUUUCUCCUCAGGGACUGGAUCCACACCCAGUCUCCUGGUUGUACUGAGUGAAUCACCUUCUCCUGUAAUUCACCUGUUGGACACAAAAUCUUGGACAUACGGGUUUGUUUAACAAACAGUCUUCUCAUGUGCUCUGCUAGUAUAUCUUUAACUUCUAUGUCUACCUGUUCUGGUCUCUCUAACUCUGGCAUUCUAUAGGCUCUACUUGAUUAGCUAAAAUGUCAUCCAUCAUUUAAAGAGAUAGAUGCUAGUAAACCAACUCUAGGGAUAAUAUCUUGUCCUAAUAUUCUAGCUACCAUAAUCAUGUCCACCAAGUAAGUUGGGAACGCUUCUACCCAUUUGCUAUACCUAUCUAUUAUUGUUAACCUGUUAGGGCUAGGGGGCAGUAUUGACACGGCUGGAUAAAAAACAUACCCGAUUUAAUCUGGUUACCACUCCUACCCAGUAACUAGAAUAUGCAUAUACUUAUUACAUAUGGAUAGAAAACACCCUAAAGUUUCUAAAACUGUUUGAAUGGUGUCUGUGAGUAUAACAGAACUCAAAUGGCAGGUCAAAACCUGAGAGAUUCCUUUACAGGAAGUGGCCUGUCUGACCAUUUCUUGAACUUCUUUUCCAUCUCUAUCUUUUACUAAGGAUCUCUGCUCUAACGUGACACUUCCUAUGUCGUCCAUAGGCGCUCAGAGCCCGGGAAAAAACAGAAUGUCGUCAUUCCAGCCCCAGGCUGAAACACAUUAUCGCCUUUCUCAAGUGGCUGAUCAAGGGACACUGGGCUUAGGCGCGUGACCCGACCGCCCCCGCCUUUGUGAUUUUUUCCUCUGUUUGCCGAAAAGGAGAUUCCCUGUCGGAAUAUUAUCGCUUUUCUACGAGAAAAAUGGCGUAAAAAUUGAUUUUAACCUCUAUGGGCUAGGUGGGACGCUAGCGUGCCACCCGUGGUGCACUCCAUCAACAGCAGGUGCAUUUCAAGAGCGGCAAAUUUGAAUCCAAAUAAAUGUCAAAAUUCAAAUUUUUCAAACAUACAACUAUUUUACACCCUUUGAAAGAUAAACAUCUCCUUAAUCUAACCACGUUUUACGAUUUCAAAAAGGUUUUACGGCGAAAGCAUAAAUUUAGAGUAUGUUAGGACAGUACAUUUACAAGAGUUGUGUGUAAUGUUUUGUCAAUUCAAAGACAGGGUCACCAAAACCAUAAAACCAGCUAAAAUGAUGCACUAACCUUUUACAAUCUCCAUCAGAUGACACUCCUAGGACAUUAUGUUAGACAAUGCAUGCAUUUUUAGUUCUAUCAAGUUCAUAUUUAUAUCCAAAAACAGCGUUUUACUAUGGCAUUGAUGUUGAGGAAAUCGUUUCCCUCCAAUAACCGGCAGUCAAGUCAGCGCCACAAAUUAAAUAAUUAAAAUUAGAAAACAUUGGUAAAAUAUUAUAUUGUCAUUUAAAGAAUUAUAGAUUUACAUCUCUUGA